rnacentral:rRNA from 1 species
UACGCGAGGAACCUUACCUGGGACUUAAAUGUAGAGUGCAUUUUUUAGAGAUAGAAAUUCCCUUCGGGGCUUUCUGGCAAGGUGCUGCAUGGUUGUCGUCAGCUCGUGCCGUGAGGUGUCGGGUUAAGUCCCAUAACGAGCGCAACCCUUAUCGUUAGUUGCCAUCUGGUAAUGCAGGGGGACUCUAGCGAAACUGCCACCGUAAGGUGAGAGGAAGGUGGGGAUGACGUCAAAUCAGCACGGCCCUUAUGUCCAGGGCUACACACGUGUUACAAUGGUCGGUACAGAGGGCAGCUACCUGGUGACAGGAUGCUAAUCUCGAAAACCGGUCUCAGUUCGGAUCGAAGUCUGCAACUCGACUUCAUGAAGUUGGAAUCGCUAGUAAUCGCGGAUCAGCAUGCCGCGGUGAAUACGUUCCCGGGCCUU